rnacentral:tRNA from 1 species
GGUAAGGUAGCCGAGUAGGCGGCGGAUUGUAAACCCGAAGACGAAGGUGAAAGACCUUCCCUUAUCA